AGCUGGCUCCCAGAUGGCCUGGAGCUCUCCUCAGAGGGCAGAGAUGGCUGCAGUAGUCUGGAUAGAGUUUGAACCCACCUAGCUCUUCUGACCCAGGCCUUCCUGUCCUUAAUACCUUUCUGGCCCACUCUGAUGGAUUGCCAAGGGUAAGUCAGGGCGCCACCCAGACAUGAGAACAGAGCCAACCUCUGUUGUGCAACGGUUGCACACGUCUCUGUCCUCUGAUCAGGCCUGGGAGGGCUGAGCAGCUGUGAUCUGUCGUUCAGCCCCCUCCUUUGAGAGAAGUGAGGCUCAGAGAGGUUAAGCAACUUGUCCAAAGUCACACUGUGUUCAGAACAUCCUAACCGGAGUCAGUGUGGUGCCAGCUGCUUGGCUGACUUAAUAGCCCUUAUCUCUUGCAUUGGCUUCCUUAGAAAUACAGGCAGAAUGGUGGUUCUUACUCCAGUGUGUAACAUUUGAAAGCAAGGAAAAAAAAAAAGACAAAAUGUAUCGGAAGGCAGUUCUGUGCGGGGCAGUAGUAUCAUUGUUACCAGCAAAUUCAAGCUGUUUUGAGCCUGGGCCAGGAGCGUAGCUCACGGGCUGGAUGUUGGUUGGAGGAAUUGCAUUACUUCCUUCGGAGUUUGCACAUCUAAUAGGGACAGCACCCGUUCUGUAGGGUGAUACAACAUCAGAGAGACAGAGAAUGACAGAGUCCAAGCCAGGAACCAGACCUAGCCCUGCCUCUCUCUGCAGAACCUCAGUGGCAUGAAGCCUAAAAUAUUUACUCCAUUAAAGGGAAAAGUCAUCCAGCCCCUGACACAGGCUGGUGGCUGGAAGGCCCAGGAACACAUUCAGUUGACUUGCACUAUUGUUACUCUGUGUCUAUUUAUAAACUCUUCCUCCGGGGUGCAUCAUAGAAUUCUACUGGCUUUGGUCCCCUAUUUCAGUGUGUAGAAGGCACAUUUGUCUUGUCUUAACAGUUCUUUUUUUCCCCCAUCUUUAUUAACUUGAGUAUUUCUUAUUUACAUUUCGAUUGUUAUUGUCUUAACAGUUCUUUUUUUUUUUUCUUUUUCUUUUUCUUUUUUUCAGAGCUGGGGACCGAACCCAGGGCCUUGCGUUUGCUAGGCAAGUGCUCUACCACUGAGCUAAAUCCCCAACCCCGUCUUAACAGUUCUUAAAGUGUGACUUAGGCAGAGGCCUGUCCUAGUCAACAACUGGUAGCAACUUCCUUUCUGAUCUAGGCAUGACUUAGCGAAGUGGGGAUUAGGGUCCAAGACAUUUAGGUCCAAUAAAGUAACAAGGCUUAUCAUAGAGAAGAAUUAAAAUAUGUCGUCACGAAGCCACGGUGAUCAGAGCAGGAAAUGACCUCAAACAAACAGGGGAACUUCAGGAGCUUGUUGCUUAUGGCAACCGAGGAGCCUCGUAGUGGGGCCUCAGCCUGGAAAGACGUCAGAGGAGUGGGCGCAGGGCAGGGCCUGUGUUUUUCUCCUCUGCAGUAAUAAUGCCCAGCACAUAGAAAGACCACAGUCUGUGAGAUACCAAAGUGUCUUUAAGAAUGCAUGUGAAUUUCUUCAGUGCCAGGUGCUUGGAGAGCUCUAAACCAAUGUGCAUUGGAAACACUUGGCAGGUGGCUCCACUGACUGACACUUUCCUCCUGGGAGCCAGCCCCUGUCUGCCCAGUAACCUGGUAACAGUCAUAACCCAGCAGACCACUGCUCAGAGAUGCGUUUGUCUCUGGAAUAAUACCUCCUAAAUUUUUGCUGUAGGAGCAUUCCCCCAGGAGGAUCAUCUGCCCCUCCUCGCAGCAUGUGAACAUUAGGUCCCCAGUACAAUGCUCAAAGCGAACACGCCGACCAGUCCAGGAAGCAGCAGAGGGGCAGAGGUAGUGAGAUUCUACCAUUUCCACGGGCCCCUUCAUGGCCCGAGGACAUAGCCCAUCAGCCAUAGCUGGCAGAGUCACACAGUGCCAUGCGCUGACUGAGGGAACUGACGCCUGCAGGAGAGGUGAUGGCUCUCUCCUGGUUUCUUUCCUUUUAACAGAAUAGGAGUUGAGAUAUCAUUUCCUCUUCAUAAUUAGGAAACAGUAAUUAACAUCAUCGGGAGCAAAUGAGGUCUGGGGGGCUGGGGAGAAUUGUCAUCCAAGGAAGGUGCAGAAUCGCAGAUGAAGACUUGGAGAUCGUGAGACCCAGCGUCUCACUUUCCCCUGUGUGGGAAACUUCCUUGGAGGCAGCUCUUAUUAAUAACAACUAUCUGUCUCUCCUGGAGGGUUGCUGGGAAGCUGGCCUUCUGCUGUGAGCUUCCUAUUUACAUCCUGGUAUGACUGUGAUACGAACCCAGAAGGAAGAGACCCUUACUGCCGCCAUGUGACUAGAAAAGGGAGUCAAGGCCAAAGAUGCACCCCAAGUGCCCCCGAUCUGCCUUCUAAGGCCUUUAUCCUUAUCUUCUGGGACACAGAGUAGGUGUGGCACGUGGGUGGGGCGUUACGGCAUUCAUUUGUCAGGGAUGAUAACUUGCAGGGGCCAUGUCUAGAUGCUUCUGGAAAGGGGAAAGCGAAUAUACUGGCACCCUGGCCCUUCAGCAGGGCCCGCCUGACUCACUGACCGCACUGGACAGAUGACUCAUUCGCCAGCCUUGACCUCAAUGGGUUUGGCCACCCAUGGAGAGUGAAGUCACACCUCCAGUGCCCUGAAGCAUUCUUCUCAGCCAACUCCAAGGCAGGUCAGGAACAGGCUUGGGUGGGUCUGCUUGGGGUCAGGGACAGGAAAGCCCAUGCAUGCCUCUGUUGAUCCUGACUGGGCUGCUCACAGAGGCCUAAGCCUUCCCUCCAAUGGCUUAUUUAGCAGUAGAAACACUACAAACCAAGAACCAAGUCCUCUCAAGAACAGAACUUGGUCAGCAAUCAGUGUGGAAGGCCAGGAGUGUGGUAAUGAGGUGACCACAAGGUCCUGAUGGGAAAAUACAAUCUUCAACUUUCAGCAAGCUGUUGCUGAUGUUUGCUGACCCCCCCUUUGGGUUCCUGCAGAUGACGCCCCCAUCUCUGUAUUCAUAUUUACCUAAGGUUCUCUCUGUGCCAAAAUUCCCCUCUCCACAAGGACACCAUCCAUGUUCGAUCAGGACCACUCUGCCCACCUCGCUUUGUGAGCCACCAUGUUGCUGGGAUUUGAACUCAGGACCUCUGGAAGAGCAGUCAGUGCUCUUAACCGCUGAGCCAUCUCUCCAGCCCUGCCCAUCUCACUUUGACUUGCUUACGUGUGUAACUGACCAUGUUUCCAAAUGUCAUGGUCUGCAAUACUGAGGGGAGGGAAGAUGUUAGUGAGUCACUUUGUCUUCUGUGCUUUCAAAGAGACCCCUUCCUAAACGUUGUACAGAUAUGUUCCCUGGAUAGGAGGGCCACCCCCAUCACUCUUGGGUAUGAUGAUUCAAUACCCUGAACACGUCACUUGACCCGUGGGCUAUUCAUUUAAUGUAAACCAUGCGAAAAGACGCAAGGGUGAGUUGCUGUAUUUGACUUUGUGUCAUUAACUCCCUGGAAUUAAAUGACACUCACACAUUCCACCAAGAUGCUGUAAGGGGCUGAGUGUGGAACCACAGAGGGGGCAACAGAGCCACAGGCACCAGAGCCCUGAAAGAUUGUGCAUCUCAGCUCACGGGGACGUGACAGACAUUGAUCUGUGGAUCUUGAGGAUGUGGCUGAGUAGGGCUUCUAGCCUAGCAUACCUGGCUUCAAACACUUGGACUGGAGCAGCAGUGGAACAAACAGCAGCCCUGAACAUCUGGCUCCAAGCUUAAACCAUACGAAUUUUACAACAAAAUGUGGGAAGAUUCCUCCGUAAUCCCAUAGUAAUAUCUUCAUGAUCUGAAGCUCUGUAGGCCAAAGGGCAAAAGGAAGGAAUGUUUCUAACUUGGAGGUAAAAACUACAAAAGUUUCUCAGGCAAAGAGUCUGCGAAUGAAGAAAGUUUAAAAAGCCCUUUGAUAGAGCGAGGCUGGAAGCUGGUGCUGGAGGAGACCCAUGCCAGCUUCUAUCCAAACGUUCCUGCCCUGGAUUGUAAAAAACUGCUGUGGCUUCUCGAGAAUCACCAUCCUCAGGAGAGAGACAAUUGAGCACCUGCUACCCACCAGAGACAGACAUCUGUGUCACCGAAUGCCACCGCCUCCCAGCCGUUACCAGACUGUUCCAUUGACCCUUGGUGGCCACCUGGUGUGAUGACCUCACUCUCCCGAUCAGUGGUUGAUGUGACCCAGGACACAGUCCCUGACGCUAAGUAGGGAUCCAAGUUACUAAGCCUGGUGAGGGACCUGGUCUUCAUCAGCAGGCUCCGAGGCCCAUUUUACAUGACAGCACUGGGUCCCGGCUGAGACAAAGAAGCUGGCUCAUUUAACUGUGUAAGGCAGCUAUGAGAAGCAGAAGGGGGAAAGGGGCAUCUUGGGGCUCAGCAUUCCUGAGGCCAGAUGUGCAAGCCUCCUGAGACCAGCUUGGCCCCAGUUGGGCUACACUCACUGCCUCAGACACUGCUGUCCCCUGUCCCUCCUCCCUCCUUCCUCAGCAUCAAAAAGACUCAGGGGUGCUGGCAGCUGUUCUCCAGCAUCUGGUGGAACAUUCUGCCCUAAAGCUGGGCUUUCCUCCCUCCCCAAGGAGAGCUGGUGACUCAUGUUUCCAUUUUCGAUGCAGAGCCAGGCACUGGAUCUUUCCAUGACCCCAACCAAGGACUGGCGGUGUAGUGCUGGAACAUGAAUUAUGAUGUCAGACCUAUCUGAGUUCAAAUCCCCUCCUUGAUGUCUGUUAGCAAUCUGUGUGAUUUUAAGCAGCCUGUUUACUCUGAUUCCCAUUUGCACAUGAAGACCACAACUGUCAAUCACGGUAUCAUUUUGUUUUAGACAAGGUCUCCACUAUGUAGCCUGAGUAAGCUUCCAGUUCUCUCUGUGUGUAUGGUGUGUGCCUGUACACAGGUAUAUGGGAGAGGGGCAUGUACCAUGAGCACACAUGUGAAGGCCAGAGGACAGCCAAUGUCUCUAUCAAUCUCUGACUUAACCCCUUGAGACACCGUCUGUCAUCAACACUGUCACCAUACUUGGACUAGGUUAGUUGGCUUGUCAACAAGCACCAUCAAUCCUUUGUCACCACGAGUCCCCUCCCCCACUGGGGUUAUACGUGCAUUGUACAAAUGCCUACAAAAGCCCCUGGGGCUUUUAUGUAGGUACUGGGAUCUGAACUCAGGUGCAUACUUGUGCACCCACUUGUCCGUCCAUCUCUCCAGCAGUUUCCAGUGCAAUCCUCCUGCCUCAGCCUCCCUGGCGCUGAGUUCAUAGGCGUGUGCACUGCACCAACCUCUCCUCUAUCGCAACUCUGAGAAUGAGCUGUUUCUUCCAACAGUUUUCUCUUUUGACGACUUCUCAUAAUUCAAGCAAAGAGGAAGUUGAGAGUUUCAUGGCCGCCAUGAACGUUCCCUACCCUGUCACAGAGAGUCAGCUUGGUGGUAUUUUUACCCAUGUGAGCUUUUCAGCAGGUUUAAAGAGGCGGGGCUGAGCUGUGAUGCUCCACAGGUCAAGGGUUAUCAAGUGCAUUUUGACUUAAUAUUUUCUAUUACAUUGUAAAUAGAAUACCCAUGUACCAUUUACUACUGCUACAGUGCUAUUGUGAGCACAACUUGUUCUAAACAUAGGAAACCAAGGCCCAGGCAAGUAAAGUAACUUCUCUGAAGUCACACAGCCAGGAAGUGGCAGAGCUGGGUCAUGGCUGGUCUGUCUGACCUCACAGGCCAACACUAUUCUGAUGCUUAGGACAAUGAGAAAGAUGGAGGAGUGAAGUUGGUCCUGAUGCUGGCCUGGAGUGGAUGCUGUGUUGGAGUUUGCUGCUGUUAUUGCUGCUGUCUUCUCAGUUGUUUCUUGUUAUCAUGCUAGGUCUCCACUUUGCCCAUGAUAAGGAGCCAGUGAGGACACAUGUCCUUCAGGCCAAAGCCACAACAGUUGAGAGAUCUGGGCAGGAGAGUCAAGUGGUUUACCCUAACUGCAUUGCUCUCUACCUGCUGAAUGAAUGCUAUUUUCUGAGGCCUGGGGGUACUGACUUUCCAUCUCUGGGCCUUAAUUACAUGUCUACCAGGAGGAGUGCUCAGACUCAGCCCUAAGGUGGAAACAGGCAGGGAGGGGCUGGGAAGAUCAAGGCCUGGGAAACAUUAUCACCCUGACUGACUGCUCUUUUCAAAAGCAAAGAGCCUGCUCUGGGCCCUAGCCCCAGAAGCCAAUAACUGCUACAGCAGAAGCACACGUGAGACCAAGCCAGACUGGAAGGUUCCAGGGGCACCAUGUAGAGUUAUCGGGAAUUACAAACAGCGUGCAGACAAAGCAAUAUGGACAGGUGCAAGAUACUAAAGCUGGCUGGGGCGGCUCACACCAGGAAUCCUAGCAACCGGGAGGCUGAAGCAGAAGUGUCAUUGAAAACAUGAGGCCAGCCUGGGCUACAGAGUGACUCUGUCAACAAAACAAAACAAAACAAAACAAAACAAAACAAAACAAAGCACUCAGAAAAGCAGAAGUCAGAGCUAAGGCACUAAAGAGAGCUGUGACCACAGCAGUGUCCCCACAUGCAACCCACAGCUGGCUUCCUGUCACUCUGCUCCAGACCUUUUCACCUCACCUAGCUCUGCAGUCCCUCCUGCUCCAACACUUGCCCUUGCCCUGCUCUUGUGGAUGAGCUAGCCUCGCCCAUGUUCAGACCACUGUGCUCUUCCCAGCCUGUUUUCCCAGAGACUCUGACCUUCCUGUCCUCAGGGAGCUCAGAAGCCUGCCUCGCAGAAGAGGGAGAGGGAGAGCAGUGCUCACAUUCGCCAAGGUGUCCCUAUGGGCACACAUUAAAUGUUUAGAGAGCCCUUUGUGUGAAGGCUCUGCCACUUGGGCCCAGAAAGAUGUCAUAAGGGGUCCUGCUCUUCUGGAGCAGUGAGGAAUUUCUGAGUUGAUUCUGAGAAUUCCCUUGCUGGGCUUGGGUCCUCCAGGCCACGCCAGGGACCACUCCACCCAGUGUGCAAUGGAUGUGGCUGUUGCCGAGCACUUCAGAGAGUGGGAGACAAAGCUUCAAGCAACUGUAGAGAAAGGAGAGAAAGGCCCCCAGCCAGGAGUCAGUGUCUGUAGGAUUGAAUCUACUUCCAGAUACAGUGCAGGAGUUGAUGGCAUGGGAGUUACAGUCUAUGGGGUCUCAGCUGAUGCCACAACCCACCUAGUGGCCGUAGGGUCUGCAAAUAGCCACCUUCCAGGUUCUGGUGUUGGAACCUGGGGGCCAGGCUCAACUUCUGAUCCCGACCUCUACUUCUGUGUGACAUUGGCUAGGCUCAGUGUGACAGUCUGUAAAGUGGACAUAAUACUGUCUUCCUAGAGUUCUGGUGUGAACAAACCGAAAUGACUCCAGGGCUGCAUGGCCAUCUGUAUCCUUCAGUCUGUGGUGACAACAGAAUAAACGUUAGGGGGAUGGAGGCGGGUCCCAGGGUGCUGUCGCUGUGGAUGACCCAGAGGGAAGCUGGUGAGGGAAGCUGGCGAUGGGGCUCAGCCUUGAAGGAGAUUGAGUUGCUAUACAAGGAAAUGCAAAAAACGUGAAUCAGUUCAAAAGUAAAAAAAAAAAAGUGAAUGAUUCAGAAGGCAUUCCAGAAUAACAAAUAGAGAUUCCAAGCCAAGUGACUCGGUUCCUCAAAAAGAGGACACAGCUCGGUGAAGCUAGAGCCUUAGUCAGGCGGGGGAGGUGGUUACUGGGAAACUUCACCCUGUUCAGCAUUAUUGAGAAGUUGUGGGUUCCUGGAGCCUUAGUGAUGUUACACAGCCUUGCAGGGUGAAGAUUACCCAAACCCUGGGCCAGAGAGUUGAAAAGGAAGUGUUUAGGGCAGGAUCUAUAUUAGAAGAAACAAACAGAAAAAAAAUGCUCCUUAGAAGACAGAGUGGCCACAAGGGAAAGUGGUCAGAUGUGUUGGAGCAUAUGGGGCAGCCGCGCGGGCCAGCCAACAUCUGCCCCAGGGAGGGAGGACUUGGCACAUCUGGGAAGCAGUGAUGGGUUACUCCCAAGGUCUGGAUCUGAUGCAGUCUUUCUGUCCAUUUUGGAAAAAUUCCUCCCAUUUUUUUCCCCACAUGGUGCAGACAUUCCCGUAGAGCAAGGGAGAGGGAGGCUGUACCCAAACUCUGCCACCUGCUUGCUGUGUGACCACCUGCUUCUCUGUGCCUUUGUCUAUCAUCAACAAAUGGUCACCAUGGUAUCUACUUUGUCAUUAUUGCAGUCGAUGUUAGUCCCAGUGCCUGGUCCCUCUGACGACUUCCUGUUGACCAUUAUUAUAGACUUUAGAAUCAAGUAAUUGAAUGCCCCAUUUGGUGCCCUCCCAGUAGAUAUUACAUCACAACAUCUCCACUUAUGUAUAACACUGUGACAAGCCAGUGUUCUUAGAAAAGACAGAAAAAGCCACAAACACACAAAAUCUCAAAAUACGGGACGAGGGAAGUCCCCCUCUACAAUGACUCUUCUGUAUACCAUGUAUGAAUGUGACCCCUACUACCACCUUACCAAGAUCUGGACUUAGCCAGAUAAGCUAUCUGGGGCUUUUCGGGGAACCAGGACUCUGAGAGGUGCCACCACCCAAGAACAGCUCUGGUUCAUUGUUUCAGGCAAGCUGGGGAGGCCUGGAAACUAGAGGUGGGUUUGAGGGAAGGACAUAUGAAGUUGAGGAAGUAGAUGUGAGGCUGGGGAGUGGCUGCUGCCUCUCUGAGGGACUGAAAUGCAAUCUUUCUGCCCAAGGCAUCAAGUCAUAGCUCAGUCUGGCCCUCUUGUUAUC